ensembl:lncRNA
UUGAUUUCCACCAACAGAAUGUCAGAGUGCCUCGAACACAGUAAGGCAGCAUCAGAAGAGGGAAUCUGCUCUCUGUUUCCUAUUUCUCAUGAGAAACAUGAAGAUUCAGGAAGAUUUGUUUAUUUUUCAAUUUAUUCAGGAAGGAAAGAAAGAUGGUGCCUCUUUGGCGGACAAGAGUGUCAUUUGACAGAUUGUUGGGGCACUUGUAUUGCCUUUGUAAAGGAACGAAGAAGCAGUACAGAUGUCUUCACAUCUAUAUGGCAAUGUGGUGGCUUUACCAAGAAAAAUAGGACUUAGUAAUUGAGUGUUCAAGAGCAGACAGCAACUUGUCAGGGGACCCAUCUGAAAAUGAAGAAAUUGAAGUUGGUGAUGUAGGAGAAGGACUGACAAAGCACCAACUGGUUGCAAUGACUAAUUAUCUGUGGCAAAGCAAAAGAAUACCAGAAGAUUUGCCACAGGAAUUAAGGAAGUGAAAUCCCAAAAAGGUUUGACCCCACAGAGCAAACAUGCCCUUAUUGCCCUGGGCCAAUCCCACCAGGUCUCACAGAACCAGUUGUUGUCCCAAAGAGAGCAUCAGUUUAUGACAUAGACUCAGUGAAGAAAGGUGUUACAGUGUGUGUAAAGUACUGCCUGAUCUGCAAGACACUUGUCAGGUUUCAGGAGUACACUGCUGGAUUUCACAAUUUUAACAACAUCAUUAUUUUGACAACUCGUCUAUGUGCAAUGAUGACAUCUGCCCUUAAGACAAACACAGCCACUGGACGGUUUCUAUCUAUGCUGGAGGACCUUCUUGCAGUAACAAUUCACCACAACACCUUAAGGAAAGCCUUUUUUCUUUUCUGGGCAAUGAUCAGAUACAUGUAUGACUUUUCAUGCAUUCGCUGUGGCCAUGAACCACCUAUCUUGAUUGCUGACAGCAACUGGAAGGUGGCUUUUGAUUUGCCUGUCAAUCUCCUGAAGAGACCUUGUAACGAAAGUGUGGAACAGAGUGACCUUAAUGUCAGUGUUGCUGAAAGAUGGUCGUCAUUAGAAACCAACACAAAUUAGCUACUUUUCUGUUACGAAACAAAGAAGAGAAACCCCUUUUCCAGGGACCUAUCUUAUUCAUCUUUUGCCCUGUGGCUUGGAUCCCCCUGCAGGGUUGGACCAAUUGUUCCAAAAACAAAGAUCCUCAAAAGAUUUUCAGUCAGACUAUGUGACAAGUCACCUCCUGUAGAUUGUCAUGCAGUUGAGGACACUGUGUUAAAACUAUUUGAAUCCAAAAAGCCUUCCAAAAAUGAGCUGCUGGCAGCAUGUACACAGCUUGGUGUGUCUUCUGCUGGCUCUGCCUCAGAUAUUAU